UCUUGGAAAAUCAUCCUGUGUCGAAGUUCCCCUUAGAUACAAACUUAUCUGGACCUGGUGAGGUUUUCCCAAACUCUGGAAAACUUAGGAUUUCUAAGAGAGAGCAGAUGAGUGAAACCUUUGAAACCCUUGAGGAUGAAUGUGAAGCCCAUCCUUUUCUCCUCCAAAACUAAAUUUUCUUAAUCCAUGCUAUUGGUCCAUAUCCCAAAACUUGCAGCACAUUUCAGGCCUCUAUAGGUUUCAGUCAGUAAUACCUAUGAUUUCCAAAGUAAUCCCAGUGACCUGGGAUGUUGUAAGGGUAUGGUCUGGGAUGCUGUAGGGGUGUGGCCUGAGAUGUCAUAGGGGUAUGCUAUGAGGAUGGGGAGCAAGGGAACACUACAGCUGAAGAGAGAAAGGCAUGGUGAUGCUCUCAUGCUUUCCCUGGGGAAGGAGCCCUGUGGCAGUGAUGCCUAUCCAUGGGGCAGUUACAUCCUCUCACACAGGUACAUAACAUUGAAGGCGUCGUUGACAGGCACUAGAGAUGGGCCCAACGGAAGGAGGUAUGUCACUGAGCACGUGCUCUGAAAGGAAAGUGUCUACAAACAGUUCCUGCCAGAGCAGCAUGAACUUCUUCCAGAGGUCCUGAGUUCGAUUCCCAGCAACCACAUGGUGGCUCACAAACAUCUGUAAUGGAAUCUGACGCCCUCUUCUGCUGUGUCUGAAGACAGCUACAGUGUACUCACAUAAAACAAACAAAUAAAUCUAAAAACAACCUUGAAAAGCUUUUCUCCUGUCUGAGUCCUGGAAAUAAUCAGGCUUCAGGAAGACAGUCUUCUCCUGUCACAAAAGCACUGAGCUUUGUCCUGUUUCACACCCCAAUGGUUUGGAUCAAGAAGAAGAAAGGAAGAAAGAGAGAGAGAAGAGAGAGAGAAGAUAGAAAAUGUAGGGAGGGAGAGAAAGAGAAAGAAGGGCUGCGUCAUUCAUUCUCUGUUGUGCUGGUGGAGCAGGCUAACUGUGUGGACUGGUGACAGGGUGACAGGUGACAUAAUCCUCCUCUGAGAACUUUUAC